CUCCUCCUCUGCAGCCUAGAGCGAGACACCAACAUGGAGCCCGAGGAUCAGCCAUGGCAGGGCGAGCUGGAGGAGGAGGAGGAGGAGGCUGCAGAGGCAGCGGCGGCGAACUUGGACGACGUAGUGGUCGUGGAGGAGGUGGAGGAAGAGGCGGGGCGGGAGUUGGACUCCGAAUCUCACUACGGGCACCAGCAUCUGGAAAGUACAGACGACGAGGAGGACGAGGAGGCCAAGGCCUGGCUGCAGGCGCACCCCGGCAGGAUUUUGCCUCCGCCGUCGCCCCCGCAGCACCGCUACUCGGAGGGCGAGCGGACCUCCCUGGAGAAGAUUGUUCCAUUGACCUGUCAUGUAUGGCAACAGAUAUUAUAUCAAGGCAAUAGUAGAACACAAAUUUCUGAUACUAAUGUGGUCUGUUUGGAAACAGCAGCUCAGCAAGGUUCUGGGGAUGAUCAGAAAACAGCAUCUUGGCAUUGUCUUCCUCAAGAAAUGGACUCUUCCCAAACCUUGGAUACAUCCCAGACCAGGUUUAAUGUAAGAACGGAAGAUACCGAAGUGACAGACUUCCCCUCUCUGGAGGAGGGUAUAUUGACGCAAUCAGAAAAUCAAGUAAAGGAACCCAACAGAGAUCUCUUUUGUUCUCCAUUGCUAGUCAUACAAGAUAGCUUUGCUUCUCCUGAUUUGCCUUUGCUGACCUGUUUGACACAAGACCAAGAAUUUGCGCCUGAUUCUUUAUUUCAUCAAAGUGAACUAAGUUUUGCACCUCUGAGGGGAAUUCCUGAUAAGUCUGAAGAUACUGAAUGGUCUUCUCGACCAUCAGAAGUUAGUGAAGCUUUAUUCCAGGCUACUGCAGAAGUAGCUUCAGACUUAGCAAGCAGUUGCUUUAGUGUAUCUCAGCACCUGCUUAUAGGCAGCACAGCUGUUGGGUCUCAGUGCCCUUUUUUGCCUUCUGAACAAGGGAAUAAUGAAGAGACUAUUUCAUCUGUUGAUGAACUGAAAAUUCCCAAAGACUGUGAUAGUUAUGAUGAUCUUUGUUCAUAUAUGUCAUGGAAGACACGAAAAGAUACACAGCAGCCUGAAAACAAUUUAGCUGAUAAAGAUCAAGUUUUAGUUGCAACUUCAUCUGACAUAACUGAUGAAAACAUAGCUACUAAAAGAAGUGACCAUUUUGAUGCUGCUUGUUUAUAUGGGCAGUACUGGAAACAGGAAGAUUCACCUAAGCAGGCAGAAACAUAUUUAACCAAGGGCCUGCAGGGGAAGGCUGAGUCUGACAUCAUUACUCUGGAUGGCCUAAAUGAAAACGCUGUUGUAUGCAGUGAAAGAGUUGCUGAACUACAAAGAAAGGUGGGUCAUUCUAAUCUGGGCAUUAAUGAGUCUUUUUCAUUUUUAUUGCCUUCAUUUGUUCCACAUAAGCCAACAAGAGAGUUGGAAUAUCAUUCUUCAGAUCUCAGAAUGUUGAGGAUGUCUCCUGACACUGUGCCAAAGGCUCCUAAACAUUUAAAAGCAGGAGACACUUCUAAAGGAGGCAUAGCUAAAGUUACUCAAUCCAACCUGAAGUCAGGCAUCACUACCACUCCUGUUGAUUCAGACAUUGGAUCUCAUUUAUCCUUGUCCCUUGAGGACCUGUCUCAGUUGGCUGUAAGUUCUCCUCUAGAAACUACUACUGGUCAACACACUGAUACUCUCAACCAAAAGACAUUAGCAGAUACUCAUCUAACUGAAGAGACUCUGAAAGUCACAGCUAUUCCUGAACCAGCUGACCAGAAGACUGCAACACCAACAGUACUCUCUAGUUCCCAGUCACAUAGGGGGAAGCCCAGUAUUUUCUACCAGCAGGGCUUGCCAGACAGUCAUCUAACUGAAGAGGCUUUGAAAGUUUCAGCUGCUCCUGGACCAGCUGACCAGACAACUGGCAUAUCAACUCUAACCUCUACUUCCUACUCACAUAGAGAGAAGCCUGGUACUUUUUACCAACAAGAGUUACCAGAGAGUAACUUAACUGAAGAGCCUUUGAAAGUUUCAUCUGCUCCUGGCCCAGUGGAGCAGAAGACGGGAAUACCUACAGUAUCCUCUACAUCCCACUCACAUGGAGAGGACCUCCUCUUUUUCUAUCGACAGACCUUGCUAGAUGGUCAUCUAACUGAUCAGGCUCUGAAAGUUUCAGAUGUGUCUGGACCAGCCGACCAGAAGACGGGGACAGCAACAGUACUCUCUACUCCCCACUCACAGAGAGAGAAGCCUGGUAUUUUUUACCAGCAAGAGUUCCCAGACAUUCAUCAAACUGAAGAGACUCUUAAAGUUUCAGCCACUCCUGGACCAGCUCACCAGAAGACUGAGAUACCAGCAGUACAGUCUAGUUCUUACUCACAAAGAGAAAAGCCUAGUAUUUUGUACCCACAGGAAUUAGCAGACAGUCAUCUACCUGAAGAGGGUCUGAAAGUUUCAGCUGUUGCUGGACCAGCUGACCAGAAGACUGGCCUACCAACAGUACCCUCUAGUGCAUACUCACACAGAGAGAAGCUCCUUAUUUUCUACCAACAGGCCUUGCUGGACAGCCGUCUACCCGAAGAGGCUCUGAAAAUUUCAGCUAUUUCUGGACCAGCUGAUGGGAAGACUGGGACACCAACUGUAACCUCUACUUCCUCUGCGUCCUCUUCACUUGGAGAAAAGCCCAGUGCUUUCUAUCAGCAGACCUUACCCAAUAGUCAUCUAACUGAAGAGGCUCUGAAAUUAUCAGUUGUUCCUGGACCAGGUGAUCAGAAGACUGGGAUACCCUCAGCACCAUCUAGUUUCUACUCACACAGAGAGAAGCCCAUUAUUUUUUCCCAGCAGACCCUGCCAGACUUUCUUUUACCUGAAGAAGCUCUGAAGAUUUCAGCUGUUUCUGUAUUGGCCGCCCAGAAGACUGGGACACCAACAGUGUCCUCUAAUUCUCACUCACAUAGCGAGAAAUCUAGUGUUUUCUACCAGCAAGAGUUGCCAGACAGUGAUCUACCUAGAGAAUCUCUGAAAAUGUCUGCUAUUCCUGGACUGACUGACCAGAAGACUGUCCCAACACCAACAGUACCUUCAGGUUCCUUCUCACAUAGAGAGAAGCCCAGUAUUUUCUAUCAACAGGAGUUGCCAGAUAGUCAUCCAACUGAAAAUGCUCUGAAAGUUUCAACUGGCCCUGGACCAGCUGACGAGAAGACUGAGAUACCAGCAGUACAGUCUAGUUCUUACACACAGAGGGAGAAGCCAAGUGUUUUGUACCCACAGGUGUUAUCAGACAGUCAUCUACCUGAAGAGAGUCUGAAAGUUUCAGCCUUCCCUGGACCAGCUGACCAGAAGACUGAGAUACCAGCAGUACAGUCUAGUUCUUACCCACAGAGGGAGAAGCCUAGUGUUCUGUACCCACAGGUGUUAUCAGGCAGUCAUCUACCUGAAGAGAGUCUGAAAGUUUCAGCCUUCCCUGGACCAGCUGACCAGAUGACUGACACACCAGCAGUACCCUAUACUUUCUACUCACAAAGAGAGAAGCCUGGUAGUUCCUACCAACAGACCUUGCCAGAGAGUCAUCUGCCUAAAGAGGCUCUGAAAAUUUCAGUAGCUCCUGGACCAGCAGACCAGAAGACUGGCACACCAACUGUAACCUCAACUUCCUACUCACAACAUAGAGAAAAGCCCAGCAUUUUCCACCAGCAGGCCUUGCCAGGUACUCAUAUACCUCAAGAGGCUCAGAAAGUUUCAGCUGUUACUGGACCAGGUGACCAGAAGACUUGGAUACCAAGAGUACUUUCUACCUUCUACCCACAAAGAGAGAAACCUGGUAUUUUCUAUCAACAGACCUUGCCAGGUAGUCAUAUACCUGAAGAGGCACAGAAAGUUUCAGCUGCUCUUGGACCAGCUGACCAGAAGACUGGGACACCAACUCCAACCUCUGCUUCUUACUCACACACAGAGAAGCCUGGUAUUUUCUACCAACAGGUCUUGCCAGAUAAUCAUCCAACUGAAGAGGCUCUGAAAAUUUCAGUUGCCUCUGAACCAGUUGACCAGACAACUGGCACACCAACGGUAACCUCUGCUUCCUACUCACAAUAUAGAGAGAAGCCCAGCAUUUUCUACCAACAGUCGUUGCCAAGUAGUCAUCUAACUGAAGAGUCUAAGAACGUUUCAGCGGUUCCUGGACCAGCUGACCAGAAGACUGUGAUACCAACCUUACCCUCUACUUUCUACUCACACACAGAGAAGCCUGGUGUUUUCUACGGACAGGUCUUGCCACAUAGUCAUCCAACUGAAGAGGCUCUGAAAAUUUCAGUUGCUUCUGAACCUGUUGACCAGACAACUGGCACACCAACGGUAACCUCUACUUCCUACUCACAACAUAGAGAGAAGCCUAGCGUUUUCUACCAACAGUUGUUGCCAGGUAGUCAUCUAACUGAAGAGGCUAAGAACGUUUCAGCGGUUCCUGGGCUAGCUGACGGGAAGACUGGGAUACCAACUUUACCCUCUACUUUCUACUCACACACAGAGAAGCCUGGUGUUUUCUACCAACAAGUCUUGCCACAUAGUCAUCUACCUGAAGAGGCUUUGGAAGUUUCAGUUGCUCCUGGACCAGUUGACCAGACGAUUGGCACACCAACUGUAACCUCUCCUUCUGGCUCAUUUGGAGAGAAGCCCAUUGUUAUCUACAAACAGGCCUUUCCAGAUGGUCAUCUACCUGAAGAGGCUCUGAAAGUUUCCAUUGUUUCUGAACCUACUGAAAAAAAGACUGACAUACCAACAGGACCUUUAGGCUCCAAUGCACUUGGAGAGAAGCCCAUUACUUUCUAUCAGCAGGCUCUGCUAGACAGUCCUCUAAAUAAAGAGGUUGUGAAAGUUUCAGCUGCUCCUGGACCAGCUGACCAGAAGACUGAGACAAUACCGGUACAUUCUACUACUUACUCAAAUAGGGGGAAGCCUGUCAUUUUCUACCAACAGACCCUAUCAGACAGUCAUUUACCUGAAGAAGCUCUGAAAGUUCCACCUGUUCCUGGACCAGAUGCCCAGAAGACUGAGACACUAUCAAUAUCCUCUAGUUUAUACUCAUAUAGAGAGAAGCCCAUUGUCUUCUACCAACAGGCCCUGCCAGACAGUCAGCUAACUAAAGAAGCUCUGAAAGUUUCAGCUGUUCCUCGACCAGCUGACCAGACUACUGGGUUAUCUACUGUAACUUCCUCUUUCUAUUCACAUACAGAGAAGCCUAAUAUUUCUUACCAGCAAGAGUUGCCAGAUAGUCAUCUAACUGAAAAGGCUCUGAAAGUCUCAAAUGUUCCUGGACCAGCUGACCAGAAGACUGGGGUAUCAACAGUAACCUCUACUUCCUACUCACACAGAGAGAAGCCCAUUAUUUCCUACCAGCAAGAGUUGCCGCAUUUUACUGAAGCAGAUUUGAAAAUUUUAGGAGUUCCUGGACCAGCUGACCAGAAGACUGGAAUAGACAUCCUGUCCUCUAAUUCCUACCCACAGAGAGAGCAGUCUGUCAUUUCUUAUCAGCAGGAGUUGCCAGAUCUUACUGAAGUAACUUUGAAAGCAGUAGGGGUUCCUGGGCCUGCUGACCAGAAGACUGGGAUACAAAUAGCAUCCUCUAGUUCCUACUCAAACAGAGAGAAGCCCAGUAUUUUUCAUCAGCAGGAGUUGCCAGAUGUUACUGAAGAAGCUUUAAAUGUUUUUGUUGUUCCUGGACAAGGUGACCAGAAGACUGAGAUACCAACAGUACCUUUAAGUUACUACUCACAUAGAGAGAAGCCCAGUGUUAUCUCUCAACAGGAGUUGCCAGACAGUCAUCUCACAGAAGAGGCUCUGAAAGUUUCACCUGUUUCUAUAACAGCAGAGCAGAAGACUGGGAUACCAAUAGAACUGUCUAGUUCCUACUCACAUUCACAUAAAGAGAAACUCAAGAUUUCAACUGUGCAUACGCCAGAUGAUCAGAAAACUGAGUUCCCAGCAGCUACCCUUAGUUCCUACUCCCAAAUAGAGAAGCCCAAGAUUUCAACUGUGAUUGGACCAAAUGACCAGAAGACUCCAUCCCAGACAGCUUUUCAUAGUUCCUAUUCUCCAACAGUAAAGCCCGAUAUUUUAUUUCAACAGCAGUUGCCAGAUAGAGAUCAAAGUAAAGGUAUUCUAAAGAUUUCAGCUGUCCCUGAACUAGCUGAUGUGAAUACUGGAAAACCAAUACCUCUCUCUAGUUCUUAUUUUCACAGAGAGAAAUCGAAUAUUUUCAGUCCACAGGAAUUGCCAGGUAGACAUGUAACUGAAGAGGUGCUGAAGGUUUCAACAAUUCCUGGACCAGCUGGCCAGAAAACAGUAUUACCAACAGCUCUUCCUAGUUCCUUUUCACAUCGAGAGAAACUAGAUAUUUUCUAUCAAAAGGAUUUGCCAGAUAGACGUCUAACUGAAGAGGCUCUAAAGAUCUCAGGUGCUCUUGGGCAAGCUGAUCAAAUUACUGGAUUACAAACAGUUCCCUCUGGUACUUACGCACAUGGUGAGAAUCACAAGCUUGUUUCAGAACAUGUCCAAAGGCUAAUAGAUAAUUUGAAUUCUUCUGACUCCAGUGUUAGCUCAAAUGAUGUGCUUUUAAAUUCUCAGGCUGAUGACAGAGUUGUAAUAAAUAAACCAGAAUCUGCAGGUUUUAGAGAUGUUGGCUCUGAAGAAAUCCAGGAUGCAGAAAAUAGUUCUAAAACUCUUAAGGAAAUUCGGACACUUUUGAUGGAGGCAGAAAAUACAGCACUGAAACGAUGCAAUUUUCCUGCUCCCCUUGCCCCUUUCAGAGAUAUUAGUGAUAUUUCAUUUAUACAAUCUAAGAAGGUGGUUUGCUUCAAAGAACCCUCUUCCACGGAUGUAUCUAAUGGUGAUUUGCUUCAGAGACAGCCAUUCACAGAGGAAAGCCCAAGCAGCAGGUGCAUACAGAAGGAUAUUGGCACACAGACGAAUUUGAAAUGCCAGAGAGGCAUUGAAAAUUGGGAGUUUAUUAGUUCAACUACAGUUAGAAGUCCUCUACAGGAAGCAGAGAGCAAAGUCAGUAUGGCAUUAGAAGAAACUCUUAGGCAAUAUCAAGCAGCCAAAUCUGUAAUGAGGUCUGAACCUGAAGGGUGUAGUGGAACCAUUGGGAAUAAAAUUAUUAUCCCUAUGAUGACUGUCAUAAAAAGUGAUUCAAGUAGUGAUGCCAGUGAUGGAAAUGGUUCCUGCUCGUGGGACAGUAAUUUACCAGAGUCUUUGGAAUCAGUUUCCGAUGUUCUUCUAAACUUCUUUCCAUAUGUUUCACCCAAGACAAGUAUAACUGAUAGCAGAGAGGAAGAGGGUGUGUCAGAGAGUGAGGAUGGUGGUGGUAGCAGUGUAGAUUCACUGGCUGCGCAUGUGAAAAACCUUCUGCAAUGUGAAUCCUCACUGAAUCAUGCUAAAGAAAUACUCAGAAAUGCAGAGGAAGAGGAAAGGCAGGUACGAGCACACGCCUGGAAUCUGAAGUUCAAUUUAGCACAUGAUUGUGGAUACUCCAUUUCAGAAUUAAAUGAAGAUGACAGGAGGAAAGUAGAAGAGAUCAAGGCAGAGUUGUUUGGUCAUGGAAGAACAACUGACUUGUCCAAGGGUUUACAGAGUCCACGGGGAAUGGGAUGCAAGCCAGAAGCUGUAUGUAGUCACAUUAUUAUUGAGAGCCAUGAAAAAGGAUGUUCCCGGACUCUAACUUCUGAACAUCCACAACUAGAUAGCCACCUUUGUGCUUUCAGAUCUGCUGAACCCUCAGAAAUGACCAGAGGAUGGCAGAGCCCAUCAUCAUGCAGAGCCAAGCACGUCAACCUUUCUGCAUCUUUAGACCAGAACAACUCCCAUUUCAAAGUUUGGAAUUCCUUGCAGUUAAAAAGUCAUUCUCCAUUUCAAAACUUUAUACCUGAUGAAUUCAAAAUCAGCAAAGGUCUUCGAAUGCCAUUCCAUGAAAAGAUGGUCCCUUGGCUGUCAGAAUUAGUAGAACCUGCUUUUGUGCCACCUAAAGAAGUGGAUUUUCAUUCUUCAUCACAAGUGUCAUCCCCAGAACCCGUGAAAAAGUUUUCUACCUCCAUCACUGUUUCGUCUCACCGACAUUCUAAAUGCAUUUCUAAUUCCUCUGUUGUUAAGGUUGGUGUUACUGAAGGUAGCCAGUGUACUGGAGCAUCUGUGGGGGUAUUUAAUUCUCAUUUCACUGAAGAACAAAAUCCUCCUAGAGAUCUUAAACAGAAAACCUCUUCCCCUUCAUCAUUUAAAAUGCAUAGUAAUUCACCAGAUAAAGAAGUGACUAUUUUAGCAGAAGGUAGAAGGCAAAGCAAGAAAUUACCUGUUGAUUUUGAGCAUUCUUUUCAAGAAGAAAAACCCUUAGAAACAUCAGACUUUACAGGCAGUCAUUCUGAGCCCAGUACCAGUGCAAAUUGUAGCAAUUUCAAGGAAACUCAAAUUUCUGAUAACCAUACCCUUAUUAGCACGGGCAGACUAAGUUCCACCCUAGGAGUAGGCAGAUCGAGUUCCAGACUAGGAGUAAAAGAGAAGAAUGUAGCUGUAACUCCAGAUCUUCCUUCUUGCAUUUUUCUUGAACAACGAGAGCUCUUUGAACAAAGCAAAGCCCCACAUGCAGAUGACUGUGUGAGGAAACACCAUUCUCCCUCUCCUCAACAUCAGGAUUAUGUAGCUCCAGACCUUCCUUCUUGCAUUUUUCUUGAACAACGAGAACUCUUUGAACAGUGCAAAGCCCUACAUGUAGAUCAUCAAAUGAGAGAAAACCAUUCUCCCCUUCCUCAAGGUCAGGAUUCUAUAGCUUCAGACCUUUCUUCUCCCAUUUCUCUUGAACAAUGCCAAACCAAAGUGCCAGUUGUAGAAGACCUAAUGAAUAAACACCAUUUUCCCCUUCCUCAAGGUCAGGAUUGUGUAGUGGAAAAGAAUAAUCAACAUAAGCCUAAAUCACACAUUUCUAAUAUAAAUGUUGAAGCCAAGUUCAAUACUGUGGUCUCCCAGUCAGCCCCAAAUCACUGUACAUUAGCAACAUCUGCAUCUACUCCUCCUUCAAAUAGAAAAGCACUUUCUUUUGUUCGUAUAACUCUUUGUCCCAAGACUUCUUCCAAGUUGGAUAGUGGAACUUUAAAUAACAGAUUCCAUUCAUUGGAUGCUGCUUCUAAAGCGAGGAUGAAUAGUGAGUUUAAUUUUGACUUACAUACUGUAUCUUCGAGAUCACUGGAACCAACCUCCAAAUUAUUGACCAGUAAACCUGUAGCACAGGAUCAAGAAUCUUUAGGUUUUCUAGGACCUAAAUCUUCACUGGAUUUCCAAGUCGUACAGCCUUCUCUUCUAGACAGUAACACUAUUACUCAGGACUUGAAAACCAUACCUUCUCAGAAUAGCCAGAUAGUAACCUCAAGGCAAAUACAAGUGAACAUUUCAGAUUUCGAAGGACAUUCCAAUCCAGAGGGGACCCCAGUAUCUGCAGAUCGAUUACCAGAGAAGAUGAAGACUUCACUUUCUGCCUUCUCUGAAAAAUUGUCAUCUGAUGCAGUCACUCAGAUAACAACAGAAAGUCCAGAAAAGACCCUAUUUUCAUCUGAGAUUUUUAUUAAUGCUGAAGAUCAUGGACAUGAAAUUAUAGAGCCUGGUAACCAGAAGCUACGCAAAGCUCCUGUCAAGUUUGCCUCAUCAUCUUCAGUCCAGCAGGUUACUUUUUCUCGUGGCACAGAUGGCCAGCCUUUAUUAUUGCCAUAUAAGCCUUCUGGUAGUAAGAAGAUGUAUUAUGUUCCACAAUUAAGACAAAUUCCUCCAUCUCCAGAUUCCAAAUCAGAUACCACCGUUGAAAGCUCCCAUUCAGGAUCCAAUGAUGCCGUUGCUCCAGACUUCCCAGCUCAGGUGCUAGGCACAAGAGAUGAUGACCUCUCAGCCACUGUUAACAUUAAACAUAAAGAAGGAAUCUACAGUAAGAGGGUAUUGACUAAGGCAUCCUUGCCAGUGGGAGAAGAACCCUUGCGGAAUGAAAAUGCAGAUGCCUCAGUUCAAGUGCUAAUCACUGGGGAUGAGAACCUCUCAGACAAAAAACAGAAAGAGAUCCACAGUACAAGGGCAGUGACUGAGGCUGCCCAGGCUAAAGAGAAAGAAUCUUUGCAGAAAGAUACUGCAGAUUCCAGUGCUGCUGCUGCUGCAGAGCACUCAGCUCAAGUAGGAGACCCAGAAAUUAAGAACUCGCCAGACACUAAAGCCAUUACACAGAAAGAGGAGAUCCAUAGGAAGAGGACAGUUCCCGAGGAAGCCUGGCCAAGCAAUAAAGAAUCCCUACAGAUCAAUAUUGAAGAGUCCGAAUGUCAUUCAGAAUUUGAAAAUACUACCCAUUCUGUCUUCAGGUCAGCAAAGUUUUACAUUCAUCAUCCCGUACACCUACCAAGUGAUCAAGAUAUUUGCCAUGAAUCUUUGGGAAAGAGUGUUUUCAUGAGACAUUCUUGGAAAGAUUUCUUUCAGCAUCAUCCAGACAAACAUAGAGAACACAUUUGUCUUCCCCUUCCUUAUCAAAACAUGGACAAGACUAAGACAGAUUAUACCAGAAUAAAGAGCCUCAGCAUCAAUGUGAAUUUGGGAAACAAAGAAGUGAUGGAUACUACUAAAAGUCAAGCUAGAGAUUAUCCAAAAUAUAAUGGACAAAUUAAUGAUCCAAAAAGGGAUCAGAAGGUCACCCCAGAGCAAACAACUCAGCACACUGUGAGUUUGAAUGAACUGUGGAACAAGUAUCGAGAGCGACAGAGGCAACAGAGACAGCCCGAGUUGAGUGACAGGAAAGAACUGUCCUUGGUGGACCGACUUGAUCGUUUGGCUAAAAUUCUUCAGAAUCCAAUCACACAUUCUCUCCAGGUCUCAGAAAGUACACAUGAUGCUAGCAGAGGGGAACGAAGUGUGAAAGAAUGGAGUGGUAGACAACAGCAGAGAAAUAAGCUUCAGAAAAAGAAGCGGUUUAAAAGCCUAGAGAAAAGCCAUAAAAACACAGGAGAGCUUAAAAAAAGCAAGGUGCUUUCCCCUCAUCGAGCUGGGAGGCCUAAUCAAAUUAAAAUUGAACAGAUUAAAUUUGAUAAAUAUAUUCUGAGUAAACAGCCAGGUUUUAAUUAUAUAAGCAACACUUCUUCGGAUUGUCAGCCCUCAGAGGAGAGUGAGCUGCUCACAGAUACUACCACCAACAUCCUUUCCAGCACCACUUCUAUUGUCGAAUCAGAUACAUUGACCCAAACAGAUAGAGAGAUGGCUCUGCACGAGAGGAGUAGCUCUGUUUCCACUAUUGACACUGCCCGGUUGAUUCAAGCUUUUGGCCAUGAAAGAGUAUGUUUGUCACCCAGACGAAUUAAAUUAUAUAGCAGCAUCACCAACCAACAGAGGAGAUACCUUGAGAAGCGGAGCAAACACAGCAAGAAAGUGUUGAAUACAGGUCAUCCCCUAGUGACUUCUGAGCACACCAGAAGGAGACACAUCCAGGUAGCAAACCAUGUGAUUUCUUCUGACCCUGUUUCGUCUUCUGCCAGUAGUUUCCUGAGCUCGAACUCUACUUUUUGCAACAAGCAAAAUGUACACAUGUUAAACAAGGGCACACAAGCAGGUAACCUGGAGAUUGUGAACGGUGCCAAAAAAAACACUCGAGAUGUUGGGAUAACUUUCCCAACUCCAAGUUCCAGCGAGGCUAAAUUGGAAGAGGACAGUGAUGUGACUUCUUGGUCAGAAGAAAAACGUGAAGAGAAAAUAAUCUUUACCGGUUAUCCUGGGGACAGAAAGUUAAAAAAGAACAAGAAUUCCCAUGAAGGAAUUUCCUGGUUUGUUCCUGUGGAAAAUGUGGAGUCUGGAUCAAAGAAGGAAAAUGUACCCAAGGCUCGUGGCCCUGGCAUCUCCUGGUUUGAACCAAUAACCAAGAGCAAGCCGUGGAGGGAGCCACUGCGGGAGCAGAACUCGCAGGGGCAGCACCUGGACAGUCGGGGCUCCCUGGCAGGCCCAGGCAGAGGGGAUGGCAGAGACCCACUGAAGCCGUUUGUGAGAGCAACCCUGCAGGAAUCGCUUCAGUUUCACAGACCUGACUUCAUCUCCCGCUCUGGGGAGCGGAUAAAGCGCCUGAAGUUAAUAGUCCAGGAGAGGAAGCUGCAGAGCAUGUUACAGAGCGAGCGGGAUGGGCUAUUCAACACUGACAGGGAACGGCAGGGCCACCAGAAUCGCAUGUGCCCGCUGCCCAAGAGAGUCUUCCUGGCUAUCCAGAAGAACAAGCCUAUCAGCAAGAAGGAAAUGAUUCAGAGGUCCAAACGGAUUUAUGAGCAGCUUCCAGAAGUACAGAAAAAGAGAGAAGAAGAGAAGAGAAAAUCAGAAUAUAAGUCAUACCGGCUGCGAGCCCAGCUAUAUAAAAAGAGAGUGACUAAUCACCUUCUGGGGAGAAAAGUUCCCUGGGACUGACACAAGUUUAUUUUCCUCAGAGCCUUGGAAUUCUAUUUUAUGAAACUAGAGAAGCACAAUCCUUACUUUUAUGACUGGGGCCUCCAGUCUGCAUGUAGCCUCCAUUUGAUUUCCAAGGCAGAGAAUACCCCCGGCUAACUUUGGAAACAAAGACAGCUUCAUUGUCACUCUGGAUCAAUCAAGCUUUAGGCUUCCUAUCUGAGUCCUCCAGGAAAGAAGAGCUUUUAACUCCCUUGGCAGUGAGUGUGGACUUGGUCCAAGGAAGAUGAGCACCAGUCAGGGCAGCUGGUCCCUCUUGUCUCCCUGACCAUCAGCAAAUCAGCACUGCCCAUCGAUGCUCAGGCAAUGGGAGCGUCGACCAGCAGAGGAAACACCUGAAUUUAUCUGCCUCAUGGGAGGGUGGCCGCUGUGUUGCAUUUAGGAAGAAGCUGUGCAAGAUUGAUACUGUUUUGCUAAUGUAAAUCUUGUGGGCAUAAUAAACGUCGUACCCACACUUAUUUUUUGAGAUCAGACAAGAUUGGGUGCGUUCAGGGUGGUAUGGCCAUAGAUUCCCACUUUUUUUUUUUUUUUUUUUUUUUUUUGAGAUGGAGUUUCACUCUUGUUGCCCAGGCUGGAGUGCAGUGGCGCAAUCUCGGCUCAAAGCAACCUCCGCCUCCCGGGUUCAAGCCAUUCUCCUGCCUCAGCUUCUGGAGUAGCUGGGAUUACAGACAUGCGCCACCACGCCCACCUAAUUUUGUAUUUUUAGUAGACACGGUGUUUCUCCAUGUUGGUCAGGCUGGUCUUGAACUCCGGACCUCAGGUGAUCUGCCUCCCAAAGUGCUGGGAUUACAGGCGUGAGCCACCGCGCCCAGCUGACCCCACACUUAUUUUUAAUACACUUCUAGGCAAGGUUGCUGCACUGGUCUGGGGAUCACACUUUGAGUAGCAAAGGACUAAAUUACAAUAACUGCUGGGGGGAGAAAAAAAACAGCAUGAACUGCUUCCUCCUGGCUCAGAAGCUAGGGAGUUACUGAACUAACAAGGGGAUGGGGUGGGGAUAAGAAUGUUCCAGGCAAAAGGAACAGCAUGGCCCAAGGUCUCAAGCAGAAAGAGAGCUUCAGGUAUUGAAGAAGUAGCAGUAGCUCUGUGUGGCUGGGGAGUGGGCAGAAGAUGGAACAGAAGAAUGCCAGGUCCUAUUCCUGGGUCUGAAUUUCCAGGAGCAGAAGCCCUGUCCCCUCUAGAAGGUAGAUACAGUCUGGAUAUUUGUUGUCUUCAAAUCUCAUGUUGAAAUGUGACCCCUAAUGUUGGAGGUUGGACCUAGUAGGAGGUGUUUAGGUCAUAAGAAGUGGAUCUCUCCUGAAUGGUUUGGUGCCCUUCUCAUGACUGAGUUGUUGCUCUAUUAGUUCAUGUGAGAGCUGGUUGUUUAAAAAGCCUGGCAUCUCUCUGGUUCCCUCUCUUGCCAUGUGACACACCUGCUCCCCUUUCACCCUUCCCCAUGAGUAAAAGCUUCCUGAGGCCCUCACCAGAGGCAGAUGCCAGCAGUGUGAUUCUUGUACAGCCUGAAAAACUGUGAUUCAAAUAAACCUCUUUUCAUUAUAAAUUACCCAGUCUCAGAUAUUUCUUUAUAGCAAUGCAAAAUAGACUAUCACAGAAAGUUGGUACUGAGGAGUAGGGUGUUGCUAUAAAGAUAUCUGAAAAUGUGGAAGUGGCUUUGGAACUGGGUUAUCGGGCAGCAGUUGGAAGAGUCUGGAGGGCCCAGAAGACAGAAAGAUAAGAAAAGGUUUGGACCUUCUUAGAGAUUUGUUAAGUGAUUGUAACCAAAUGUGGAUGGAAAUAUGUACAGUAAAGGCCAGCCUGAUGAGGUCUCAGAUGGAAAUGAGGAAGUUAUGGGGAACUGGAGCAAAGUUCACCCUUGUUAUGCCCUAGCAAAGAACUUGACUGCAUUGUAUCUAUGUCCUAGGGCUUUGUGGAAGGCUGAACUUAAGAGUAAUGACUUAUUGUAUCUGGUAGAAGAAAUUUCUAAGCAGCAAAGCAUUCAAGUUUUUUUCGACAACAUAGCAUCUCUGGUGUUGCUCUGAAUCUGCUGUGAUUCUAGGGAUUGCCUGAUUUGCGAAUCGUCUUUUUUCUUUUUCUUCUCAAUUAAAUUCUGUUAAAUUUGUUUUUAUAAAUUUAUAAAAGUUUUAUAAGUCUUUUAGUUUUUAUAAGGUUUUUGUUUUAACAGCUCUGGUGUUGGAAGUGCAAUUUGAAGUAAAACUCUGGUGACCUCCAGGAACACCAGGUGACCAGGCCAGUUGUGCUCACUGCUCUCUUGAUUGUAACUGGAGGUUGUAGAUGGGUUUUCUCUUGGAUUCGGAGCUCCACUAAUUUGUGUUCUAAUUGGAGCUCUCCAAGUUUAUUGGAGCAAUAUUUAAGUGGACUGGGUUCAGGAUCAAAUUUGAAUCAAUAAUUAAAUGGAUUGGGUUCUGUUAGAGCCUCAGACCUCUGGUAGGCACUUUUUUCUUUCUUUUUUUUUUUUUUUUGAUAAUGGGUUUGUCUCAAUCCAAAGAUUCUAGGAAUCUACCUUCUGGGACUCCAUCUAAUUUUAUAUAUAAAAUUAUGGGCCCAGAACUUGUGCAUUUUUAGAAAAAUAGAUUAACCUUAGUAGAGAAAAGAUGGCCACAAUAGGGAAGUUUUAAUUUGUAUAAAAUUGUUUAUUUGCAAGGCAUAUUAGAAAAAAGGGGGAUCAAAACCCCACAAAAACAGUGGGAUAUAGUCUUUCAUUGGCACAUGGGAGCCUCUAAAAGACUAAACGAAUGAAAAAUUGCCUCCUUAAAAGAUUCUUUGCAAAAGCAAAUGAACAGCUUAAGCAACAGACUAAGGACAUGAUGAAAGAGAACUGUACUCUGCCUGAAUUCACCCCAACUGUUUCUUUUCCUUGUCUCUACCUACGUACUCUGAGUCUACUAACCUUUUUGCUAAAUUAACCUUUCACUCUGAAGAUGAUGAAAAAGGAGGAAUUAUAUGUACGCCUCACAAAGGAAGACCUUCUGAUUAUCCAGGCCUGCCUGCUGUAACCACUUUCACUCCAUGGUCCAAAACUUAGAGCUAUUGUAGAAGACUUCCCUGAUCUAAGAGAAAAUCCUCAAAAAUUGCCUGAGGAGUUUAGAAUCCUCAUAGGAGAUUAUGAUCCAGGACUCCCUGACAAAGGUUCAUAUGACAAUUUAUUCAUAUGAUGUGGAGGCCUGGUGAAGCUCAAAAAUGGAUGGCAGCAGCAGAAUGGAACAAACCUGGGAAGAUAUUAAAGACCCCGCCUCCGCCCACCCCCCUCCAAAACCUCCUCAUGAGAACGCCCAACAGGAGCUAGAAAUGUUGCUGCAAAUCCCAGCCUGGGCAACAUGGCAAAACCCUGUCUAUACAAAAAGUACAGAAAGUUAGCUGGGCAUGAUGGCACAUGCCUGUAGACCCAGCUACUUAUGAGGCUAAAGUGGGAGGAUCACCUGAGCCUGGGAGCUUGAGGCUACUGUGAGCCAUGACUGUGCCACUGCACUCCAGCCUGGGUAGCAGAGCAAGACCCUGUCUCAAAAAAAAAAAAGGAAAAAAAUGUGCUGAAAAUCUUUUAAAUUCAAAUACCAAAUUUUUUCCACAAAAGUUGAUUGGUACAUCAUACAAUCUUGUAAACCAAAAAAAGAAUGAACUAGUGUCAGAUUACAGAACUUGCUUCGAAAUAAUGUGAAACAUUCUGGGCUCAAAGUACUAGCAAGGAGUAUCUCCUGCAGGGACUGAAAUGGUAUUAACUACUCUGUUUAUAAAUGGACUUCAUCCCGAACUUAGAAAUUUAAUUAGAAAACCUGAACUGGGAUGGGAAGUUACAGCCAUGACUGAAUUGGUGGCUCUAGCUGAACAUUUUGAGAGGACUGUAGAGCAAGAAAAAACCCAAAAGGCUAACAAGCUUAUGGCUCUUCAAUUACAACAGUUACAGGGGCCAAGACCAAAGGGAUCUUCUCAUUCUCAUUUUAAAUCACAACCAAGAGGUGUUAGAGCAAGAAAUUCUUCACCCUACGAUGUCUGCCUUAUUGCAAACAACCAGGACAGUGGAAAAGGGAUUGUGCCCUUUUAUACCAGUCCACCAAUUACCCUCCCUUUAGGCCAGUCUGAGUUAACCACUAGAGGGAGCACAAGAGACCUUAGCUCUCCUGAAGAUAAUCAGCAUUGAAGCGGCUCUGAUGGAUUUGCCAGUAUAUUACUCCUCAUAAUACCCUUAAAAGAAUAUGGAGAAACAGAGGUUACAAUAAAUGGGGACUCAUGUAUAGUCUUGGUGGAUACCGGAGCUACCUUAUCUGCCACUAUCAUAAAACACACUUUCAUAAGCCAACAGAUCCCUCAGAGUUAAAGAGGCUAUUUCUGUGGUGGGAGUUUCAAAUCAAAUUCAAGGGGUUCCCAUAUCUGGACCCAUCCAACUGACGUUGGGGCAUUUUUCAGAAAAUCACACUUUUGUACUAGGUGAUACUGCUCCAGCAAGUUUGCUAGGGGGAGAUUUACUUUCAAAGCUGAAAGGGCAUAGAAGACUAUAUAUUGGGUACAGAGUACACUGCUUGGGAAAUGGGUGCACUAAAAUCUCAGAAAUCACCACUAAAGAACUUGUCCAUGUAACCAAAAAACCACCUGUACUCCCAAAACUAUUGAAAUUUUUUAAAUUAAAAAAAUUUAAAAAGUGGAGAGGGUGUAAAAUUUUCCUUGGAAUAAGAAUCAGUUUCCUGAUUCUCCUGAACCAGAAUUGUUAAUGCUCUCUAUAGGCAGAAAUUAAUAAGAUUGAAACUCAGGCCUGUAAUGCCUGAUCUUCCAAAAAUACCUGAAUGUUUAUGGGCCUCUUCCUCAACUGAUACAGGAAGAAUUUAAAGUGUGGGACCUAUUAACGUCCAAAUAGACCACUGUAAACUUUUGCCUAAAUUACCCAAUAUCUACGAAAACUAGAAGCAAUUCAAGGGCUCUCGCCAAUUGUAGAAGAUUUAAUUAAACAGGGAUUUAUAAUUCUAUGCAGCAGCCCUUGUAACACUCCAAUCCUACUGGUUAAAAUAAACUAAAUGGAUGAGGUUGAAGAUUUGUUCAAGGUUUAUUGGCAGUUAACAAAAUUGUAGUAGCAAGGUUUCCUAUAGUUCCAAAUCCUAAUACUUUAUUAUCCAAGAUAUAUGCUGAUUCUUAAGUGGUUCACAAUAUUAGAUCUCUGCUCAGCCUUUUUCUUGCAAUCCAGUUCAUAAGGAGAGUCUAUGCUUGUUUGCCUUCACUUGGAAAUGGACUGUGAUGCCGCAAGGGUUUACCGAAGCCUCUUUGUAUUUUCCCAGGCAUUGCAUCAGGACUUUAUGACAUUAUAGUUUCUUCAAAAUUCUACUCUCAUUCAGUAUGUAGAUGACUUAUUGUAUGCUCUCCCACUAAAGAGUACCCUGAAAUGGACUCAGUUUACCUUUUACAGCAACUCACACAUCAAGGUCACAAAGCUUCAAUAGAAAAACGUCAGUUUUCAAGGGGAAAAAAAGUCCAUUAUUUGGGACAUGACUUGAAGGGAUUUCCCUCUCACCUAAAAAGUUAAAAACUAUUCAAAAUUUUCCUUUGCCUGCAACCAAAAGAUAAUUAAGAGGUUUUCUUGGACUUGCAGGAUAUUUUCUUGGACUUGCAGGAUAUAUUCUUAGACUUGCGGGAUAUAAAAUUCCUGGGUUCUGAAUUUUUCCUUAAUAACCUCACCAUUGUAUGAGCUCCCUAAAAAAUGCUGUACCAGAGCCUUUACCUUGGGAUGAUAGUCAUGAGCAGGCUUUUAGCUAAAUAAAAUUGACCUUAUAUCAGCCUCCAGCUUUAGGACUUCCAAAUUGCAGUAAACUGUUUACCUAAUUGACUCAUGAAAGUAAUAAUCAGGCAUUUGGGAGUCUUACCCAGGAACAUGGGGAGAAACAUAGGCCCAUUGCAUAUUAUAGCCUGCAAUUAGACCCAGUAGCUAAGGUAUAUCCUGUUUAAAAGCAGUAGCAGCAGCAACCAGGCUGAAAGAAGCUUCAGCUGAUCUGGUUUUAGGAAAUGAACUUAAUUUGGAAGUCCCACAUGCUAAAUUCCACCCAAACCCAGCAUUUUUUAGUAAGUAGACUAUCAUCUUAUGAAAUACUCUAUCUCCUUCUAAUCUCUAUCUAAAACACUGCAAUUUACUUAACCAUGCCACUCUAUUACUGCUGCCUGAUGAUGGUGAAGACCACAGUUGCGUAAGUGUAGCAUCAGAAAUAGUGGCCCCUCAUGUUGAUUUACAAGUUAGUCCACUGGACAAUCCUGAGUUAACAUUUUCGUUGAUGAGUCCUAAGCUCAGAAGGAAAAUAUCAACUAGGAUAUGCUGUUACCACCAAAAUGAGUUAAUAGAGAAGGGUCCCCUUCCUCUAUUAGCUCUAUUAGUCUAAGCUCUAUAAGUCAGCUUAACCCUCGAAGAUUUUUGCCCUCACCCAAGCUUGUCAUAUAGCUAAAGACAAAUCAGUAAGUAUUUAGAUAGCUAGUAGAUACGCUUUAGGAGUAGUACAUGAUUUUGGCAUGAUAUGGAAACUCUAAGGGUUUCUCACUUCUAGUGGGACCACCAUCAAAAAUGGACUCCAAUUAGAUAAACUCCUAGACUGCUGUUAUUGAUUGAAGCUCAUACCUCCAGAACUGAAUCUGAAUAUCAAGGGAAUGCUUAACAGAUUGUUAUGCUAAAUCAACUAGCACUGAAACUGUUAGGAUAUGAAAUCGGAAUGAACUCCAUAAGAUUAAUUGAAGCCAACUACCUUACAAUGACAUAUUUAAUAAACAAUGCAAAGCACCUGAUUUGGAAAAACAAAACUAGUAUCUAAAAGGAUAUAAAUUCAAUAUUAAGCGCAAACUUGCAGAGGGCCUAGAUGGCUGCCUGGUCUUUCCUGAGUCUUUGAAGCUUCUAUUGUCAAAAGCUCUGUACUCUACAACUCAUCAUGGAACAGAAAAAUUCAUCCAAAUUGUGAAAAAGUACUUGUGGGAUAACUGUUCCAAAAUUGCUAGAAUAUACUUUUUUUUUUUUUUGAGAUGGAGUCUCACUGUGUCACCCAGGGUGGAGUGCAGUGUUGUGAUCGCAGCUCACUGCACCCUCCGCCUCCCUGGUUCAAGUGAUUCUCCUUCCUCAGCCUCCCAAGUAGCUGGGACUACAGGUGUGUGCCACCAUGCCCGGCUAAUUUUUUUUAUUUUUAGUAGAGAUGGGGUUUCACCAUGUUACCCAGGAUGGUCUCAAUCUCCUGACCUUGUGAUCCACCUGCCUCGGCCUCCCAAAGUGCUGGGAUUACAGGCGUGAGCCACUGCGCUGAGCCUGCUAGAAUAUUUUAUAACCAGUGUUGGCUUGUCAAACCAUAGUCCUGGAAAAACAAAAGAUUCAGGUGAUAUAUUGUAUUUUCACCACCUAAUGGACCAUUUGAACAAUUAUAGAUGGACUUCAUUCAGUUGCCACCCUCAAUGGGGGUCUCAGUAUGUUCUUGUAAUAGUUUCCAUGUUUUCUGGUUGGGUAGAGGCCUUCCUGUGUAGGAAAGCUGAUGCUGUGACAGUAGCUAAGAAAAUAUUAGAAAAUGUGUUUCCUUUAUGGAACAUCCCUGGAAAAAUCCCCAGCAAUGGGGGAAUUCAUUUUAUUAGGGAAGUUAUAAAGCAGUUAAACAAGGUGUUAUGGACACAGUGGCACCACCAUUGUCCCAAUCGCCCUCAGUCUUCUGAAAAGGUUGAAAGAACAAAUGGCAUAUUAAAACUGAAAUUGCAAAGUUAACUGAAUCAGUUGGGUUGCCUUGGCCAAAGGUACUAUCAUUGGAUUUAAUGGCAAUCAGAUCCACUCUCACUUAAAAACAUAAGUGGACCCCUUAUGAAAUAGUCACUAGAAGGCCUAUGCCCCAGUAGUAAAACCUCACGCAUCUUUCUGUCUCCUAAAUUCUGAUAUGAGUAAGUACUGCAAGGCCAUUAUACCAAAGUGUACUUUCACCAGAUAAAGGAAGAUUUUCAACACCAGCAACUGAGGAUAAUCAAACCUUCCACAGUCUAGAACCUGCAGAUUGUGUCUUCUGGAAAUGACAUCAGAGGAAGGCUCCUCUUGACAACUCUUUGGAAGGGACCAUGCUGAGUUCUUCUCAACACCUACACUGCAGCGAAGCUUCAGGGCCUUGAAACUUGGGUCCACACCUCACAACUCAAAAGGACCUCUGCAGACUCCUGGAACUGUACACGUGCUGGAGACUUUAAGGUAAAGCUGUCUAAGGAAAUAUCUCUCCAGAGCCGAUGGCAUUCUAGCUGUGGACAGCUUUCCCAAGAUCACAGAUCAAGACUCCUGUAUCAUCAUGAAAGCCUUACGUUUUUUCUUUUCUCCUCAUUUCCUGUUGCCCUAAUUCUUUCUUUUUCCCUACAGGAAAAUCCGUGAGACCAUAACCAGUGGAUGGCUUUAGCUUGAGCGUAUGCUCUAGCACAGAACCAGAGUUUGUGGGUUAUUAGGUUUGUUGUUUAUUGCCAAAAAAAAUAAACAAUUCCACUAAUGCCAAUGCCUCUCCGUGUUCCCAAUGAGAGUCACCCCCAAAUUCCAAGGGAAGGAUGGAAAGCUAUCCUUGAUAUCCUGAACACCAUUGCUACUUGCUUCCCUGCACUCAUUAAAAGCAACACUUUAACUUUUCCUUUUUUUUUUUUCUUUUUUUUUUGAGACAGUCUCACUCUGUUGCCAAGGUUGGAGUGCAGUGACCUGAUCUUGGCUCACUGCAGCCUCUACCUCCCAGGUUCAAGGGAUUCUCCUGCCUCAGACACCCAAGUAGCUGGGACUACAGGCAUGCACCACCGCAUCCAGCUGAUUUUUGAAUUUUUAGUAGAGACAGGGUUUCUCUACGUUGGCCAGGCUGGUCUCAAACCUCCUGGCCUCAAGUGAUCUGCCAGCCUUGGUUUCCCAAAGUUCUGGGAUUACAGGCAUGAGCCACCACACCCUGCCUUAACUGUUUCAAUUAAUAACCUGAUCAUUACCAAAAUAUAGAAAACCAGUCCAAGUGAUGCCUGCAAAAGAUAUAUUGUGCUUUCAGGCAUCAUGCACUUAAGAUACGGGAAUUACCUAUGUGAGUGCAAGUAAUUGCUUGUAUAAUGUCACCAGAUUAAAUUCAACGGGGUCUCUUUUUACUAAGUGUUUUAUAACCCUUGCAACAUGCUGUAAGGGGGGCACAAAAAGGUCAGUUUCUCAAUGGAUUUUGUUCAGCAGCUAUGCAGAUUUAUUAAUGAACAAAUGUAACUGACCCCUUCUCAAAUGCAACUAGAUGGCCCUGUUUUUCAACCACCAAGGGCCUAUUUUGGGUCUGUAGAUAAUCUGCAUAUUUCAUUCUGCCUCUUUGUUGGCUCAGAUCUUGCUAUUUGGUCUGGCUCACUCCUGCCUUUCGAAUAGUUUCACAUAAAAAUUCUCCUAACAGCUCUUAUGAUUGGAGGCCAAAAUAGUCAAUAACUGAAAUUAGUACUAGCUUUGAAAUGGACAAAGAUAAGCUAGUUUCCACUGAGGAAAGAUUCCAUUGGGGUUCCGGGCGGCUCACUCUUGGUGGUAGCGGGAUACUAGUUGUAUGGAAUCUAAAGUUAAUCCAUAUUUGGGGUCUUGGAUUUUAUAGCCAAUCAGACAUCCCCGUGUUUCAGACAGGUAGAAGCUACUCUCCAGAAGGUAGAUGUGGCCUGGUGCAGUGGCUCAUGCCUGUAAUCCCAGCACUUUGGGAGGCCAAGGCAGGUGGAUCGCCUGAGGUCAGGAGUUCGAGACCAGCCUGCCCACUGUGGUGAAACUCCGUCUCUACUAAGUACAAAAAAUUAGCCAGGCAUGGUGGCGUGUGCCUGUAGUCCCAGCUACUUGGGAGACUGAGGUAGGAGAAUCGCUUGAACCCAGGAUUCAGAGGUUGUAGUGACCUGAGAUCACCCCACUGCACUCCAGCCUGGGUGACAGGGCGAGACCCUGUCCCAAAAAUAAAAAAAAAAAAAAAAAAAAAAAACAAAACAAAAAAACAAAAGGUAGAUGUUACAGUUAACGGAACAUCAUGCAGCUUCAUAUCUCCUUUUUACUCAAGCUGGGGUCUAUGUUUGGUGUUGAACAAAAUGGAAUGCUGCACUUAUCUGUCUCCUGAUUUUGUUACUACAGAAAGCUUAAUGUAGAGGUGGCUGAUACUGCUGUUUCUUUAGACACUGACACCAAAUACAGUAAAGAAGUCUCUCAAGAGGAAAACAUGGUGUGUUUACAGCAGCAACUAACAGCUGGUUUGUAGACACCCUAAAUGGUGGAUGGUAAGCUUGGGUUUCCCAAAGGUUUCUAGUCUUUAUAUGUCUUCUAGUAGGUGUCCAGGUUUGUAUGGCUUGUGUUACCAGAGUAACAAUGAAAAUGGCUAUGUCUUUAAAUCAGGCCACUUUACAGUGAACUAUGGUCCUUAAUUGCUAUCACAUUUCAAACAAGAACUAUGACCAAUUAAACUUUAAUAUUGUUGAACUGCCUAUGUUGCCUGAACUUUGACUUGUUUAAGUUGGUUUCAUUUAUUUCAUAAGAACUCUUGUUAAGGGGUGCACCUUGGUAUUUUGAUAUUAUUCUCUUGAUAGUCAUAAUAAUAGUUCCCUGGUGUGCUGCAUCCUCUCAAGUCUUAAAUGUUUUGUAUGCAGCCAUACAUUGAGAACUGAAUGGUCUCACUUCGACUAGGUCAGCAAGAACGUAAAGAAUCAUUCACCUAGUGUGAAGCUGUGACUUGUGAACUUCACAGUCACACCAAUAAAGACUUGUGAACUGGCCGGGCAUGAUGGCUCAUGCCUGUAAUCCCAGCAAUUUGAGAGGCCGAGGCAGGCGGAUCAUGAGGUCAGGAGAUCAAGAUCAUCCUGGCUAAAACGGUGAAACCUCGUCUCUACUAAAAAUAUAAAAAAAAUUAGCUAAGUAUGGUGGUGGGUGCCUGUAGUCCCAGCUGCUUGGGAGGCUGAGGCAGGAGAAUGGCGUGAACCCAGGAGGCGGAGCUUGCAGUAAGCUGAGAUCGCGCCACUGUACUCCAGCCUGGGUGACAGAGCGAGACUUUGACUCAGAAAAAAAAAAAAAAAAAAGACUUGUGAAUUCCAUACUGAGACAGACAGUUCACAAUAGUGAGAGAGUGGCAUCAAUGCCUAAAGUUUUGAUCAAUUUCUCUAAAUUGAGAGUCUGACCAAAAGAGGGGAAUUGAUAAAUGAAAUUCAAAUCUGGCCUGAGGAAGCCUUCAUAUUCCCAUAGUUGAGUCCUUAAGGGUGAACCGUAACGUAACUAGUAGGUAGGCAGACUGAAAACCUAACUUAGGAGGAUGCUUCUUUAGCAAUAGCUGAGUCUCAGCCAAUCCCAUUGGCCAUACGUCAACCACUCACAGGCAGCCGACUGUUUGAAUCAUGCUCAGAUAAGGCAAACACCAAGCUGUAACCAGUCUGGCUGUUUCUGUACCUUACUUCCAUUUUCUGUAUGUAACUUUCUUUUUUCUGUCCACAAAUUUGCUUUGACAACACAGCAUCCCUAGUGUCUGUCUGUGUGUGCUGUGAUUCUGAGGGCUGCCCAAUUUGCAAAUUAUUUAUUUUUCUUGAUCAAUUAAACUCUGUGAAAUGUAA